GUAUACAAGGGGAAGCAUAGGGGGGAUUGACAGUCAGCAGCUUCAGCAGCGAGCGGGCAUCCGCGAGGCCGCGAGUUUUAUUCCUGACCACAACACUUGUGCGGUCAGUUACACGAAUAUAGAACGAUUUUAUGCGAACAUAAAAUGCCUCGUCUCUCCACCAACAACAAGCAAUAAAUCAUUGAAUUCUAAUACACGGUCGCGUAUCAACCCUCGCUGUUACUAACAGAGGCACUAGGGAUGUGAACCUAGUCCCUCCAAAAUCUUCACGAACGAAUUAGUCCACAGUUUAUUAUCACUCUGUUAAUAAAUAAAACGUACACACCGUUUCGUUGACAGAAAUAAUAUAAUUUGUUAAUAUUUAAUUCUGUAAAACGUGUACGUAAAUCUCAUCUGGACGUAAAUAUCGUGCGGUUCUCAUAUUUGACGAUUUUGGAAUAUUGAUCGUGGAGGAACUCGAUAGGAAGUAUUAAAGAUGAGAGAUCACCACCGUUGAUUCUGGUUUUGUUCUGAGUAAAUCGGAAGUAACUCAAUACGAAGUAUUAAAGAUGAGAGAUCAGCACCGUUGAUUUGGUUUUUGUUGUCGUGAAUCGGUAAGAA